AACGAACGCUGGCUGCAGGCCUAACACAUGCAAGUCGAGCGAGGACUUCGGUUCUAGCGGCGGACGGGUGAGUAACGCGUGGGAAUGUGCCCUUCUCUACGGAAUAGCCCUGGGAAACUGGGAGUAAUACCGUAUACGCCCUAUUGGGGAAAGAUUUAUCGGAGAAGGAUCAGCCCGCGUUGGAUUAGGUCGUUGGUGGGGUAAUGGCCUACCAAGCCGACGAUCCAUAGCUGGUUUGAGAGGAUGAUCAGCCACACUGGGACUGAGACACGGCCCAGACUCCUACGAGAGGCAGCAGUGGGGAAUCUUAGACAAUGGGGGCAACCCUGAUCGAGCCAUGCCGCGUGAGUGAUGAAGGCCUUAGGGUUGUAAAGCUCUUUCAGCUGGGAAGAUAAUGACGGUACCAGCAGAAGAAGCCCCGGCUAACUCCGUG
rnacentral:rRNA from 1 species